CAUCGAGGAGUGAAGGGGUUUGUUAAAGAUCUUCAGGGCAAUCCAAUAGCAAAUGCUACAAUCUCUGUAGAGGGAAUAAGCCAUGAUAUCACAUCAGCCAAGGAUGGCGAUUACUGGAGGUUGCUUGUGCCUGGAAAUUACAAACUUACAGCUUCAGCACCAGGCUACCUAGCAAUAAC